CCGCCUGGGGACUACGGCCGCAAGGCUAAAACCCAAAGGAAUUGACGGGGGCUUACACAAGCGGUGGAGCAUGUGGUUUAAUUCGAAACAACGCGCAAAACCUUACCAAUCCUUGACAUAUGAAAAACCAGGGUGUUUACCCGCUCUGUCUCUUUUAUACAGGUGCUGCAUGGCUGUCGUCAGUUCGUGGUGUGAGCUGUUGGGUUAAGUCCCAGAACGAACGCAACCCUCCUUUGAAAUGAAGGUUUACCUUUUUCAAAGACUGCCAAGGAUAUCUUGGAGGAAGGUGAGGAUGACGUCAAGUCCGCAUGGCCCUUAUGGGUUGGGCUACACACGUGCUACAAUGGGAAUGACAAAAGGAGGCAACAUGGCAACAUUGAGCAAAUCCCAAAAAGUUUCCUUAGUUCGGAUUGUUCUCUGCAACUCGAGAACAUGAAGUUGGAAUCGCUAGUAAUCGUAGAUCAGCACGCUACGGUGAAUUUGUAUCUAAGCCUUGUACACACCGCCCGUCACACUCUGAAAAUUUUCAUGCCUUGAAGCAAAAGAAGUUCACCAAGAACACACAGCGCAAUUAAAAAAAAAACAUCUUCCCUUUUUUUUCUGUGUCUUUGUUGGAACCUUUUCUAGAGUUAGGGAGGUGAUUGGAGUGAAGUCGUAACAAGGUAGCUGUAGGGGAACCUGUAGCUGGAGAGACUCCUUUUUUUUUAAAAAUUGAACAUGAAUGUUCGAGAACUUUAUGAGUUUGAUCCUGGCUCAGAAUGAACGCUAGCGAUAAGCUUAACACAUGCAAGUUGAAUGUUGUCGUACAACAUGGCGUACGGGUGAGUAAGACGUAAGAAUCUACCAAAAAAUUGUGGGUCAAUCCUCAAUAUCUCGUGGACGAGUAAAGAUAUCUGGUAUCGUUUUUUGAUGAGCUUACGUAAGAUUAGAUAGUUGGUAAGGUAAAAGCUUACCAAGUCGAUGAUCUUUCAUUGGUCUUAGCGGACGACCAAUCACAUCGGGACUGAGAGACGGCCCGAACUCUUGAUGGAGGCAGCAGUGAGGAAUCUUGGACACUGGGCGCAAGCCUGAUCCAGCUAUAUCGCGUGGGUGACGAAGGUUAUAUUGAUUGUAAAACCCUUUCAUUGAAAAAAAACGGUACACCGUUUUUUGGAGACUUUGACAUGAAUCAAAGAAGAAGCUCCGGCAAAUUCUGUGCCAGCAGCCGCGGUAAGACAGGAGGAGCGAGUGUUAUUCGAAUUAAUUGGGCGUAAAGGGCAUGUAGGUGGAGAGAUGUAGUUGUUUGUGAAAGUCCAAAGGGUUUCUUUGGGUGUGCAUUCAAGACGGUUUCUUCUCUUUGAGGGUGUAAGAGGAAAAUAGAAUUUCCAGAGGAGAGGUUAAAUUCUUAGAUUUUGGAAGGAAUACCUAAUGCGAAGGCAAUUUUCUGGUGCACUCCUGACACUGAGGUGCGAAAGCGCGGGGAGCGAACAGGAUUAGAUACCCUGGUAGUCCGCGCCUUAAACGAUG